GACGAACGCUGGCGGCGUGCUUAACACAUGCAAGUCGAACGCGCCUGUCCUCUGGGUUUCUGGGGGGUGGGUGAGUGGCGAACGGGUGAGUAACACGUGAGUAACCUGCCCCCUUCUUCGGGAUAACGGUCUGAAAGGGCUGCUAAUACCGGGUAUUCACUGGUCUCCGCAUGGGGUCUGGUGGAAAGGUUUUUUUCUGGUGGGGGAUGGGCUCGCGGCCUAUCAGCUUGUUGGUGGGGUGAUGGCCCACCAAGGCCUUGACGGGUAGCCGGCCUGGGAGGGUGACCGGUCACAUUGGGACUGAGAUACGGCCCAGACUCCUACGGGAGGCAGCAGUGGGGAAUAUUGCACAAUGGGCGCAAGCCUGAUGCAGCGACGCCGCGUGAGGGAUGGAGGCCUUCGGGUUGUGAACCUCUUUCGCCCGUGGUCAAGCCGCGACGUGGGUCGUGGUGAGGGUAGUGGGUAAAGAAGCGCCGGCUAACUACGUG
rnacentral:rRNA from 1 species